AUGAACGCUGGCGGCGUGCCUAAUACAUGCAAGUCGAGCGAACAGACGAGGAGCUUGCUCCUCUGACGUUAGCGGCGGACGGGAGAGUAACACGUGGAUAACCUACCUAUAAGACUGGGAUAACUUCGGGAAACCGGAGCUAAUACCGGAUAAUAUAUUGAACCGCAUGGUUCAAUAGGGAAAGACGGUUUUGCUGUCACGUAUAGAUGGAUCCGCGCCGCAUUAGCUAGUUGGUAAGGUAACGGCUUACCAAGGCAACGAUGCGUAGCCGCCCUGAGAGGGUGAUCGGCCACACUGGAACUGAGACACGGUCCAGACUCCUACGGGAGGCAGCAGUAGGGACUCUUCCGCAAUGGGCGAAAGCCUGACGGAGCACCGCCGCGUGAGUGAUGAAGGUCUUCGGAUCGUAAAACUCUGUUAUUAGGGAAGAACAAAUGUGUAAGUAACUAUGCACGUCUUGACGGUACCUAAUCAGAAAGCCACGGCUAACUACGUG
rnacentral:rRNA from 1 species